rnacentral:rRNA from 1 species
GAUGAACGCUGGCGGCGUGCCUAAUACGUGCAAGUCGAGCGAAUUGAUUAGAAGCUUGCUUCUAUGACGUUAGCGGCGGACGGGUGAGUAACACGUGGGCAACCUGCCUGUAAGACUGGGAUAACUUCGGGAAACCGAAGCUAAUACCGGAUAGGAUCUUCUCCCUCAUGGGAGAUGAUUGAAAGAUGGUUUCGGCUAUCACUUACAGAUGGGCCCGCGGUGCAUUAGCUAGUUGGUGAGGUAACGGCUCACCAAGGCAACGAUGCAUAGCCGACCUGAGAGGGUGAUCGGCCACACGGGGACUGAGACACGGCCCAGACUCCUACGGGAGGCAGCAGUAGGGAAUCUUCCGCAAUGGACGAAAGUCUGACGGAGCAACGCCGCGUGAGUGAUGAAGGCUUUCGGGUCGUAAAACUCUGUUGUUAGGGAAGAACAAGUACGAGAGUAACUGCUCGUACCUUGACGGUACCUAACCAGAAAGCCACGGCUAACUACGUGCCAGCCGCCGCGGUAACAC